rnacentral:ncRNA from 1 species
UACGAUAAAGGUAAACCCUGAGUGAUCAGGGGACGCAAAGUAACAGGGUCUUGAAACUCACAAGGAUGUAGUUUGCAAAGACUUGCUUGCAAUAAAAAAGAUAGCCUUACUGCCGAAG